GCUAUACAUGCAGUCGAGCGAACAGAUAAGGAGCUUGCUCCUUUGACGUUAGCGGCGGACGGGUGAGUAACACGUGGGUAACCUACCUAUAAGACUGGGAUAACUUCGGGAAACCGGAGCUAAUACCGGAUAAUAUUUCGAACCGCAUGGUUCGAUAGUGAAAGAUGGUUUUGCUAUCACUUAUAGAUGGACCCGCGCCGUAUUAGCUAGUUGGUAAGGUAACGGCUUACCAAGGCGACGAUACGUAGCCGACCUGAGAGGGUGAUCGGCCACACUGGAACUGAGACACGGUCCAGACUCCUACGGGAGGCAGCAGUAGGGAAUCUUCCGCAAUGGGCGAAAGCCUGACGGAGCAACGCCGCGUGAGUGAUGAAGGUCUUCGGAUCGUAAAACUCUGUUAUUAGGGAAGAACAUACGUGUAAGUAACUGUGCACGUCUUGACGGUACCUAAUCAGAAAGCCACGGCUAACUACGUGCCAGCAGCCGCGGUAAUACGUAGGUGGCAAGCGUWWYCSGGAAUUAUUGGGCGUAAAGCGCGCGUAGGCGGUUUUUUAAGUCUGAUGUGAAAGCCCACGGCUCAACCGUGGAGGGUCAUUGGAAACUGGAAAACUUGAGUGCAGAAGAGGAAAGUGGAAUUCCAUGUGUAGCGGUGAAAUGCGCAGAGAUAUGGAGGAACACCAGUGGCGAAGGCGACUUUCUGGUCUGUAACUGACGCUGAUGUGCGAAAGCGUGGGGAUCAAACAGGAUUAGAUACCCUGGUAGUCCACGCCGUAAACGAUGAGUGCUAAGUGUUAGGGGGUUUCCGCCCCUUAGUGCUGCAGCUAACGCAUUAAGCACUCCGCCUGGGGAGUACGACCGCAAGGUUGAAACUCAAAGGAAUUGACGGGGACCCGCACAAGCGGUGGAGCAUGUGGUUUAAUUCGAAGCAACGCGAAGAACCUUACCAAAUCUUGACAUCCUUUGACAACUCUAGAGAUAGAGCUUUCCCCUUCGGGGGACAAAGUGACAGGUGGUGCAUGGUUGUCGUCAGCUCGUGUCGUGAGAUGUUGGGUUAAGUCCCGCAACGAGCGCAACCCUUAAGCUUAGUUGCCAUCAUUAAGUUGGGCACUCUAAGUUGACUGCCGGUGACAAACCGGAGGAAGGUGGGGAUGACGUCAAAUCAUCAUGCCCCUUAUGAUUUGGGCUACACACGUGCUACAAUGGACAAUACAAAGGGCAGCGAAACCGCGAGGUCAAGCAAAUCCCAUAAAGUUGUUCUCAGUUCGGAUUGUAGUCUGCAACUCGACUACAUGAAGCUGGAAUCGCUAGUAAUCGUAGAUCAGCAUGCUACGGUGAAUACGUUCCCGGGUCUUGUACACACCGCCCGUCACACCACGAGAGUUUGUAACACCCGAAGCCGGUGGAGUAACCAUUUGGAGCUAGCCGUCGAAGGUGGGACAAAUGAUUGGGGUGAAGUCGA
rnacentral:rRNA from 1 species